AACCUACUCACUCCGUUCGAAAUUGCUUGUCUCGGAAAUGGAUGUAUCUGGAACUAAAAUAUGUCUAGAUACAUCCAUUUCUACGACAAGUAAUUUCGAACGGAGGAAGUACUAA
rfam:Triticum aestivum genome assembly, contig: Triticum_aestivum_CS42_TGACv1_scaffold_049441_1BS